UUGCUACAAGCACAGUUCUCUUUUGUAUUAGAAUGACAAUCUUUGUACUCGGAUGUUGUUUAUCCAAAUCUUCAUAGUGUACACUGGAGAUGAACCGAAUCGAGUGCAUCUUGCAUUGCAUAAGAAGCCUUAUGCUGGUGUCGCUUCAAUGAUAUGAUCCUAGUAAUUGGUUGUUCUGGAAUUUUCAUGUCAAGAUAUAUUUAUAUUUUACCAUGAUAUUAAGUCAUAGUAGUUUCUCAUAUUCUCUUUACAUUAAAGGAGUGCAUAUGAAUCCUUGUCACCAGUUAUAAAGAAAAAAGCAUCAUCCAUUAACAUUCUUUUAAAUGACAUCUAAAGGUGCAGGGAAAGAUUCCAGCAGCUGAGCAUCCAUCAAGCCCUAUGCGCCGCAAUGCAGGUAACAUCUCACACCAUUUUGCUGCUUAUUGUAACCUCUCUCACACUGCUGCAACAGAUGAUUCCAAAGCAUAAUCUCUGUGUAACCUCUCUAUUGUAACCUCUCUCACACUGCUGCAACAAAUGCAGGUAACCUCUCACACCAUUUUGCUGCUUAUUGUAACCUCUCUCACACUGCUGCAACAGAUGAUUCCAAAGUAUAAUCUCUGUUUUUUUUCUGUCGGUGCUUUAAUAAGCAUGAAGGAUAAACUGAUGACAGCAAGCAAUCAUGCAUGCAUCUAGUGGCCUUGCUUCCACAUUUUUCCAUAUGAUGAGGCCAAUGAAUCAGCCGGCCACAUGCAUGCAUAUAGGGUGAGAAGAACAAGAGAGAGAGUUCAUCAGACAUAACAGAGGCAGUUGCAUCUCGUUUCACCUCAUUCUACAUGCACGUCUUUACAUAACCAUAAGCAUAUCUAUUAUGUAGAUAUAUAGGGACGGAGGUUUGCAUGUCUACUAUUUCCUCAGGCAUUCACGGAUGACUUUAGGACAAGUACUAAGGCCCCUGAAAGUCCAGUGUACACUGUCAGGUAUGGCUCAAAGGUUGCACUUUUGCAUACCCAAAAGAGAACGCACCUCACGACAACCCAAUGCUGCUUGAUGUGCGUAUCGCCGGAAACCUUCUGCAGCCCAUCGGAUUAUGGUACGGUGAAGUCCAGGCUUCGAUCAUGUUCAACGGCGUCAAUGGUAUGGUGAAGUAGAGCCGGUGACUCCUGCCGUUCCUUGUUUUGAGCCAGAGACCAUUGCAACAACAGUCCCAACUCUCGUUCUUACUACUAUUCGAUUCACUAGUUGUAUGCAGAAGUUUUCUCUAGUUUUAUAUGCAGUUGUACUGUAUCUGAUAGAGGGGAGAACUCUUGUUCUUCUAUUUGAUUUAAAUAGAUCUAUGUUUAGUUUGGAAA
rnacentral:lncRNA from 1 species